CCCCUCCCGGCGUGAGCUCCACUUUCACUAGAUGAACCUCCCAUUUCUCUGCUUUUUGUGGAGCGAGCUGCAGCCCCACGCGACCAGCACCCCCUUUUUUCCCCUCGCUCACGUCUCUCCUUCCUUUCCCUUUUCUUCUGCUCCAGGGAAACGACCAACAGAGAAAACCCCACGAGAGAUGCCUGUGAGCUACCCGCACCCUCCCCUCCAUGGCGCCGCCGCUCCCGGCCGCCCCUCUCCGAGCUGAGGCCAUCUCCAGAACCGCCUCGUCGUCCUCUCCAUCCUCCCCAAAGGAAUCGAGCUGGGGCGCACAGAGCCUUCUCCACCAUCGCCGUUUCUCCACCAUGGUUGCGGUGCUCCGGCGAAAGUUCCGGCCGCGUCACGUCUCCUCCGCCCAUUUUGAGGCCUCCUCCACCUUCCUGGUGCUCGUCGCCGGUGCAUCUCCGGUACAUCCCCGACGCCAAGACCACCACUAGCAGAAUCACCGUGAACCCGCGCGUCGAAUGCGCCAUCUCGCGCGUCCCGUCUCGCCUUAAAUCGUCGGAUUCGUGGUCGAUUGGAUCUCAGACCGCCAUGGCCGACCUGCCUAAGCUCCGCUUCAUCUGCUUCAAAGGGAGACGCGCCCAGUUCCGUACAACAAUCGAUCAGUAGCGCAGUGAUCCGGCGCUUGAUGGGCCUUGGCCCAGAUCUUCACGCCGCGGGCCGUUGCUCCGCGCGCCCAGCUUCUAUCCACCACCGCUUCCGCCAGCAUUUGCUUCUUCCCGGAUAGGAUCGCGAAGUGGUGUGGUGAGAUACGACAAGUUCUCCGGAGGUUCCUCGGCGGGCUUUAACAGGCAAGCAUUUUCCCUUAUACUCCUGUCCCUGCAGGAGACGCUCACCUAUUUUAUUUUGCCUUCUCCCUCAUGCUAUCCUUGAGUUGCGUUCUUGUCAUGUGUCCCUUCCACUUGUUACCUCAAGCAGCCCAUAUUGCCACCACUACCUCCUACAGCUAUUGUUUGGUUAUCGGGUCUGCCUUGCGAGUCGUAGUGCAUGCUAGUGCUGUUUUAUCUCGUUACCGUUAUUGUUAUCUUAUCGGGUUAUAUGUUGGGAAGAAUCAUGGUUACUUUAGUUGUUGAUAAUUGUUUAGCGGAGGCAUCGGUGGGUCAGCUGCUUGUUUUGUGAUGGCUCACUUGUGUUUCCUAAAUAAACUAGGACCCCGAGUUCUUGUUAUCUGUUCCGAGACUGAGCGCUCUAACCACACGUGGGUAUGCUUACCGGGUCUCCCCUCGACCACUGCCGGAAUCUACAUCUUUGUCCAGUGGCCACAACUAGUUUGGAUGUUUGUUUUGUUUC